GGCAGUCAGUCUGUGGGGGAUAAGCUUCAUAGGCGAGAGGGAAACAUCCCAGACCAUCGAAUAAGGUCCCAAAGACAAUGCUAAGUGGUAAGAAGGAGGUGAAUUUUCUUAGACAAUGGGGAUGUUGGCUUAGAGGCAGCCAUCAUUUAAAAAGUGCGUAAUAGCUUACCCAUCGAGAGGAUUUGCGCCGAAAAUGAUCGGGACUAAAGUAUUGCACCGAAUUUGUGGAAUUAGAAAUAAUUGGUAGGAGAGCGUUCUAACGGCGUUGAAGCGCGAGGGGCAACCGAGCGUGGAGCUUUUGGAAGUGAUAAUCUAGGCAUGAGUAACGAUAAGUAUGGUCAAAAUCCAUACCGCCGUAAGGAUAAGGUUUCCUGGGGAAGGUUCGUCCGCCCAGGGUUAGUCGGGAGCUAAGGCGAGGCCGUAAGGAGUAGUCGAUGCACAGCGGGUUAAUAUUCCCGCACUGAGUGAUAGGUGUUUGACGCGUGUACUGACAAAAGAGUGGAAGCAAGUGGGGUGAUGAACGUCCCUUUCGCGCAAGCGGAUCUUGAGGCUACGGCUGAGGGAGAUUUGCUAAAGCUAUUUUCGGGAAAAGGUACACGAAUAAUUUAUCAUUUACCCGUACCGCAAACCGACACAGGUAUCCGGGAUGAGUAUUCUAAGGCGCGUGAGUGAAAUCUCUCUAAGGAACUCGGCAAAAUUGCCCUGUAUCUUCGGUAGAAAGGGUGCCGCAGCGAUGCGGUCACAGUAAAGAGAUCCAACCGACUGUUUAUCAAAAACACAGCUCUCUGCCAAGUCGCAAGACAACGUAUAGGGAGUGACAUGUGACCAAUGCGGAAAGGUGAAAGCUGGUUGUGUAAGCUUCUGGUCUAAGCCCCCGUGAAUGUCGGCCGUAACUAUAACGGUCCUAAGGUAGCGAAAUUCCUUGUCGGGUAAGUUCCGACCUGCACGAAUCAUGUAACGAGUUGGAUGCUGUCUCAGGGAGACGCUCAGUGAAAUUGUAGUCGCGGUUAAGAUGCCGCGUACCCGCAGAAGGACGGAAAGACCCUAUGAACCUUUACUAUAACCUGAUAUUGUCAUUUGAUUUUCAAUACGUAGCAUAGGCGGGAGGCUUAGAUAUGUCACUCCAGGGUGGCAAGGAGCCGCAAUGUGAAAUACCGCUUUUUGACUGUUAGAUGUCUAACCAAUGCCCAUUAGCUGGGGUUGGGACAGUGUUAGGGGGUUAGUUUGACUGGGGCGGUCUCCUCCUAAAGUGUAACGGAGGACUGCGAUGGUUCCCUCAGACCGGUUGGCAAUCGGUCGGCGAGGAUAUGGCUAGAAGGGAGCUUAACUGUGAGACAUACAAGUCGAGCAGAUGGGAAACCAGGCCCAAGUGAUCCGGCAGUGGCUCGUGGGAGCGCUGUCGCUUAAGGGAUAAAAGGUACUCUAGGGAUAACAGGCUGAUUUCACCCAAGCGUUCAUAGCGACGGUGA
rnacentral:rRNA from 1 species